UGCGCAGGCGGAAUAAUAAGUCAGUGGUGAAAUCCUGCGGCUCAACCGCAGAACUGCCAUUGAUACUGUUGUUCUUGAAUAUAGUUGAGGUAGGCGGAAUGUGUAAUGUAGCGGUGAAAUGCUUAGAUAUUACACAGAACACCGAUUGCGAAGGCAGCUUACUAAACUAUGAUUGACGCUAAUGUACGAAAGCGUGGGGAGCGAACAGGAUUAGAUACCCUGGUAGUCC
rnacentral:rRNA from 1 species